GACAGAGGGUGCAAACGUUGUUCGGAAUUACUGGGCGUAAAGCGCGUGUAGGCUGUUCUGCAAGUCGGGUGUGAAAGCCCCGGGCUCAACCUGGGAAGUGCACUCGAAACUGCAGAACUCGAGUCCUGGAGAGGAAGGCGGAAUUCUCGGUGUAGAGGUGAAAUUCGUAGAUAUCGGGAGGAACACCGGUGGCGAAGGCGGCGACCUGGGUAGAUACUGACGCUGAGGCGCGAAAGCGUGGGGAGCAAACAGG
rnacentral:rRNA from 1 species